rnacentral:rRNA from 1 species
AUUGAACGCUGGCGGCAUGCUUUACACAUGCAAGUCGAACGGCAGCACGAAAGAGCUUGCUCUUUUGGUGGCGAGUGGCGAACGGGUGAGUAAUGCAUCGGAACGUACCGAGUAAUGGGGGGUAACUGUCCGAAAGGAUAGCUAAUACCGCAUACGCUUUGAGAAGGAAAGUGGGGGCUCUUCGGACCUCACGUUAUUCGAGCGGCCGAUGUCUGAUUAGCUAGUUGGUGGGGUAAAGGCCUACCAAGGCGACGAUCAGUAGCGGGUCUGAGAGGAUGAUCCGCCACACUGGGACUGAGACACGGCCCAGACUCCUACGGGAGGCAGCAGUGGGGAAUUUUGGACAAUGGGCGCAAGCCUGAUCCAGCCAUGCCGCGUGUCUGAAGAAGGCCUUCGGGUUGUAAAGGACUUUUGUUAGGGAAGAAAAGGAUAGUGUUAAUACCAUUAUCUGCUGACGGUACCUAAAGAAUAAGCACCGGCUAACUACGUG